GUACUUGCUUUGGCAGCACAUGUACUAAAACUGGAAUUAUGCGGAGAUUAGCAUGGUCCCUCUGCAAGAAUGAAACUCAAAAUUUGUGAAGCAUUCCAUUUUUUU